rnacentral:rRNA from 1 species
UAGGGAAUCUUCGGCAAUGGACGGAAGUCUGACCGAGCAACGCCGCGUGAGUGAAGAAGGUUUUCGGAUCGUAAAACUCUGUUGGUAGAGAAGAACGUUGGUGAGAGUGGAAAGCUCAUCAAGUGACGGUAACUACCCAGAAAGGGACGGCUAACUACGUGCCA